CAGCUUCAGGUUGCGUUCGGUGUGUUUUAAACGCUGACGGCUUGAUUUGUCAGGUACGACUUCAUCGUGAGUCACAAAGUGCGGCAGUGUGGCCCCCACUCACUACAACGUGGUGUACGACAGCAGUGGCCUCAAACCAGACCACAUGCAGAGACUCACCUACAAACUCUGCCACAUGUAUUACAACUGGCAGGUGUUGAGAGGAUAGUGUGGAGGAUACGUUUGGCUCGGAUCAGGAGGAUCCUUAGGCUCUUGCCAGAGUUUCUGCGCAUGUGUUGUGUUCCUGUAGGUGUUGGCAGUUCAGGAGCAGAGACGAGCGACUCUGAUCGCAAUCAUCCGUGAUCUAAGGUGGCAACUUCAGCGCAUAGGGUAAGCGCACACUCG
ensembl:lncRNA